CAAGGGUGGAGGGCGGAGAGAAACCCAAAGGUUGGAGCCGAAAUCCAAAUCAAGGUGGUUUUCUUAGGAAAUGCCAGUUAAUCUACUAGAUAAUCUUCACCAUCACCUUUCUCUUCAUGACUUUUCAGAGUUUGCAUUAUGCUAAGACUCCCUAAUUCUUCUUUGUUUCUUAGUAUCAUUUUCGAUAACCAAGGAAUGGCAAAUUUGAGCAAUAACAUGGGGACCUUCAGUGUGUAUCGAAUAUGCUUUAUUGAUGAAUUCACUUAAUCUCUUUCUACUCUUAGGGCAUUGUGGGCAAAUGGAACAAUCAUAGAACAAGAGGGGCACAAAACCGCAGGACUCAUGAGCUCUGAUGCAGUGUGGGGAUGCCCUGUAGAAACUUCACAUGGAUGUUGCGAGGGUAAAAAAGGAGGAAAUGCAUCUUCGAUACAUAAGGUAGUGAUACAGAGGCUCAGAGAUUCAAGAAAACUGCUCAGUUUUACAUCAGAAACCAGGAUGAAGACACGAGAGAAAGGUUAGCUGUGUGGAGUGCUUCUCCCAGUGUGGUUCCAGCAGGUCUUGGUGGAGCAGCUCUCCCCGGGAACCACGGCUUUGAGUUUCCAUGACGGAUAAGAGUUAGAGCACAAGGCAUUAGUAAGAAAUUGCAUUUCUUUAUUUUCAUUGCAUGUUUACUUGCCUUCUAGGAUUGUGGCAAGGUUUCUUAACAUCAACAGAAACGAGGGAACUUGCAAAGAACAAAUGACUAGGGCGUUCAGUUGCAUCUUUGCAAGGAACCUGGAUUCGGUGAGAUCAUGGAGGCUUUGUUUGACCUUAAACAGCUUUGACAGUUGAAAUUUGAGAUUUUAACCCCUCCAUAAGGCUGUUAAACCAGCCAGAAAAUGUGGAGCAUUUGAGAAAUUCCACAGAUCGAGGGGACACCAAUGAACUGAAAGGAGCCCAAAUGCUGGUGCUCCGAAAGCAGGUGCCGGGGAAGGGGGAGGAGUUGUGCCUGGGGCAGCAAGUCUCUGGAGCCCCCUCAAUGAAGAGGCUCCUUGGUCUUCAGCUCUGUCCUUCCUCCCCUGCACUUCCCAUAGAAUGGAUCUCUAGCACCUUGUUGUUUUGAAGAACAGUCAAGUAGAGGGGCGCCUGUGUGGCUCAGUCAGCUACAUGUCUGCCUUGGCUCAGAUUCUGAUCCUGGAAUCCCCAGAUUGAGCCCUGUGUUAGGCUCCCUGCUCAGCGGAGAGCCUGCUUCUCCCUCUCGUGCUCUUUCUCACUCUCUCUCAUAAAUAAAAUCUUUAAAAAAAAAAAAAAGGUUCAAGGAGAAAAUCAUAACAGAGCCACCUCACUGUCCUGCAUGGAAUGCAUGGACUAGUCUCCGUAGCGGGAAAGAGCCCAUGGUGCCUGCCGAAGGCGCAAAGGCUUCGGAAGUGGAUUCUGAUGGUGUCACUAGGAGAAUGCACCAUGACUUGUUUUGUAUGUAGGUAAUAGGGGUCAGAGAGGUGCUGGGUCUGCUCCUAACUAAGCAGUCCACUGUGAUUUGAAUAAUCC
rnacentral:lncRNA from 1 species